GCCACUUUAGUCCUGGAAAUAUUAUUUAAUUAUUCCAAAACAGUAAAGGAGACUUACUUAUAUAUAACUUUAACAUGUAAACAACAUUGUUCUGGUUUAUUCUGGCCAUUGCAGUGUGUCUUCGUUUCUAAAAAGCCUUUAAAUUACCGUUGCUGCCACCUGUCGUAUUGAAAAAGGCCCACAAUGGCCUAGCUAUCAUGCAAACACAAUUUGUUUGUUGGGCAAAUAUCUGAUAGUUAAUACUUACCGACGGUGUCAUGAAAGUCCACUGUUUGCCUGUUAAAUUGUUUACAGAGUAACUGCAACGUUUGCACCUUUCAGUAAAUAGCCCUAUCCCUUGCCGUGGCACCUGCAACCGAGUUACACUCGUAUUUGUCGUCUGAGAAGGGGAGGCUCGUUCGCCACCGCCAGCCCCGAGAUUAUUAUCAUUAAGAGGAGGCAAAUAAAAUGCUGCCAUCCCAGCGUCAGAUAAAACAGAGCCAAAGUCUGGGAAGCAUCACAUGCCUCCCAACACUUCAUCAUAUAAAAAGACACACAAAAGGCGCACAAGCUCACACGCAAAAACAGCGCUGUGUUCUUUGUAUCUGCUAACUGAUGCAGAUGAUAGGGCUGCAGAUGAGUGCAAGCUAACCACAGACUACAGGGGACAUGUGGCUUCAGAGACAAUAGCAGGCCAAAGAGGAGAACAUACCAUCCUCAGGAACAAGCGUGGAUAUAAAUGAAGGCACAAUUGCAACCGAUUUCUUUGAAAUAGUUCUUUAUUUGUCCUUUUUUUCCUGUUAUUGUGUUCAUGUACGCACCAUAUGUACCAAAGCAACAUCUUUAAAUGUGUGAAGCGACUUGGCAAUAAACCAGAUUCAGAUUCUGAUCAAUUUUGCAGACACAGAAGCUUGCACAAAUGGUGAUGUGUCUAAAUCAUGUGGUUGUUAGAGGAAGAGAAAUGUGCGUUCCUACCUACCCAGAAGAGCCAUACCUAUCCAGAGAGACAAUAGCAGGCCAAAGCCUUAGGAGAAUAUUCAGUUCCAAGGAACAUACUUCGAAAUAAAUGACAACAAGAUUGCAACCAUUUUAUGUAAUGAUGUGUAAGAUUUUUAGUUUUAUACAUGUCCUUUUUUUUUUACUAUUAUUGUGUACACACCAUAUGCACCAAAGCAACAUCCUUGAAUGUGUAAACCCACUUGGUAAUAAACCAGAUUCUGAUUCUGAUAAAGUUUUGCAGACACAGAAUCUUGCACAAACAGUGAUUUGUCUAAAUCAUGUGGUUUCUGUAGCUUUCUUAACCACUAAAAACAGCACAUUUCUAUAAAAACUGAGACAAUAGCAAG